UUGAUGUCAUAGAAGUCACACUGCAGGAUUGUGUGACACUGCUACAAUUUUGUCUGAGGUAAAAUCUGAUCGCAAUGUCCUGUCAGUGAACAUGUCAAACUAACAAUCAAAGACUACAUAUUUUAGCCUAGGAUCAGAGGAAUCUUUUAGUAUUUCUAAAAUUUGUCCGAGGUGGCCAAAUUGUGAACCUGGUUUAAGAUCUUCAGGAGCACUUGAUAAUUAAAUACAGUUGUGUUAGAUAAGGGUUGGGUCUGAACUCUGCAGGUAGGUAGAUCUCCAGGAUUGGGCACACCUGCACUAGAUCCUUUGUAUUUAACCAAUCUUCUAUCACGCUAUACAUCACGCUCUUAGGUCACAAAUCUUUUGAUAGUACAUAGAAUAGAACUAAAGAAGGUAGAGCGUUUUCACAUUUGCUUCCUCGACUCUAGAAUAGCCUUCCUGAUAAUGUGAAUCUAGAUUACACACAUCAUAUAAAUUAGCAUUCACUCACUGCAUCUAUACAAACAAUGGUAUCUGAUGAAGUAGUACGAAAUAUACCUGAUCGUCUUCUGCCUGAAAUGCAAUGAACUGCAGCUAUGUUAAUUCUUUUUCAUUUGUUUUCCUGAUUUUAACAACAGCAACUACAGAUUGUGCUAGUUCCAGUCUUUCCGAAGAUUUCAGGUAACACUGACAAUUGCAAAGAUUUCAGAUGACUCCAAAUUUGGAUUGUAAUUCAAAACUGUCACAUACAUUUCUUAUAUUUUAGUCAUUAUGAGCAGAAACUGCUUACAUUAAGAACAAUUUCAUUGAGUCAGCUUAACUGAAUACAUGAUAUUAACUAACCACAUAACAUGUAUUAUAUUAUAGCUAAAUAUUAAUUCCUGCUAUAUGGAUAUUAUUUUGACAAAAAAAAAAAGGGUUAAAAAGAUAUGCUCAACCAUCUAAAGAGGAGGUACUAUCAAAAAACAUAUGUUCAUCUUAAUUGAAGAAAAGGUACAACACUCAAGGAAAAAAAAAAAAAAAAAAAAAAACUUUAUUCACUUCCAGGCCAGUAGUUGGUGUCACUUUGUCAAAGAAACACGUAAUACACAUGUGAACAUGUAAUACGCAUUACCAUGAUGUCACCAUUUUCACAAAUUCACAUUUUUGUUGUUUAUGUGGUGACUGUAAAGGCAUUGUUUUCAAAAACUUGCACUUAAAAUCCCAUUUUCAAAAGCUUGUUUUCAUGCCCCAAAAUGUCGUUGUCGUGUAAAUGAAUGGACAAAAUGCAAAAUGUAUAAAAUGUUUCCAUUUUCAGUUUAAAACAGUGUCAUGUAAACAGCCUCUCAGUUUAAAACAAGCAACGUUUUAGCCACUGUCAAGGCCUUCAUUAGACAUCAAAAACAACUUCAUCACACACUGCUUUAAACAUUCUUACAAUCAGCAGCAGGUGUACUCUACUAACUGUGGGAGUGGCUUUUUUUACAAGAUCAAAAGGGAAAAAGAGAAAUUUCAAUAAAACAUACCAUAGCCUAUUACCUAAAUAGGCUCUUUGGGAAACAACAAAUCUAAAGUAAAAAUCCCAAGUUUCCCUGGACCUAUGAUUCACAUCAAUAUCUCCUCCCAGGCCUAAUAAAUGAACUUGUUCAAUGUGAAAAUAAAAGGACUCACAGAUAGAAUGUGAAUGCUAUUUGAAAUAUUGUGCUACAGGGUUACUAACAUCCUCAUGUCUUUUGACACUACAAUGUUCGCAUAUACAAGUUCUCAGUUCUCUUGAUGUUUUUCAAACAUACAACAAUCCCCACAUGAGAAAUAUAUUGCAUACAUGACAUUGCAUAAAUUACAGGUGAUGAAACUUUUUAUAAAUACAUCUAUUUUUGCCUGUUCUAGGGGUGAAAAAUAUUUCUGCAUCCCAGACUUUCAGUAAUGGUCUGUACUUAACGACUGUCCAAACUUGGUGACAUGGACAUCCAAAAUAUCUAAAGGGCGAGUGUUGCAACUUUUCUUCAAUUGACAUUAUUUUGACACUCAUCUACGGCUGAUAACAACAAUCCUUCCUAAUUAUAAUAUAAUAAUAAUAAUUUUAGAGGAAGUUAUGAUUUAAAUCUAUAGAUGAAUACUAAUAAAACACUAACAGUAGUUAUGCCACUACAUGCACUCUAUAAAACAUAUAUUUAGUGUGACAUCAUAACAAUCUUUUGGAGACAAGGGUAAAUGAGUAGAUAUUACAAUGAGAAAAGCUUUUCAAAUUGUGAAUGCAAAUGUACAAAUAAAUACCUCUUGUAACAGCCUCAUAAAGCCUCUGCAUAACUGGAACUGAGGGAUGGCUCUGAAUGUACGCACUUUUAACUAAAACUUUUGUAGAGCGGUGCUGGCCUUUCUGUGUUGUGAUAAAAAGCAUCGGUGAGACACCUAGUAAUUCCAACUUAUGGAGCUGAGAAGAGAGAACAAAAUGUUUUUAAACAAGAGUAUACAUUAAAGUUAAAAACUCACUUUAGUGCUAACAGGCUUUUUGUUUCAA